rnacentral:tRNA from 1 species
GUGGCUCAGUGGUAGAGCACUUGCUUUGCAUGCAUGAGACCCUGGGUUCAAUUCCUCAGC